rnacentral:misc_RNA from 1 species
GAUGAAGAACGCAGUGAAAUGCGAUAAUUAAUGUGAAUUGCAGAAUUCCGUGAAUCAUCGAGUCUUUGAACGCACAUUGCGCCUCAUGGCAUUCCGUGAGGCAUGCCCAUCUCAGCGUUAGAAAAUAUUCUCAAAUUUUAGUUUUGUGCUAAAAUUUGGAUCAUGUCAAAGAAGCUAUUACUAUUAUUGUGAUCGCUCUUUGGAAAUUGAUAGGUCUUUGAGUUGCUACUCAUAGAACGUGAUGAAUCUUUCUUCGUUCUAUUGUAAUUCACUCUGGUAGUCCUAAAACUUGUAUGCCUGUGGCAUAUCUUGUAAUUUGACCUGAGAUUGGGUAGGGAUACCCGCUGAACUUAAGCAUAUCAAAAGCGGAGGA